rnacentral:rRNA from 1 species
UACGUAGGGGGGCAAGCGUUGUCCGGAUUUAUUGGGCGUAAAGAGCGUGUAGGCGGCUAGAUAGGUCCGUUGUGAAAACUCGAGGCUCAACCUCGAGACGUUGAGUGAAACCAUCUGGCUAGAGUCCGGAAGAGGAGAGUGGAAUUCCUGGUGUAGCGGUGAAAUGCGCAGAUAUCAGGAGGAACACCGAUGGCGAAGGCAGCUCACUAGGUCUGGAUUGACGCUCAGGGACGAAAGCGUGGGGAGCAAACAGG